rnacentral:rRNA from 1 species
CAGUAGCCGCGGGAAUACGAAGGUCCCGAGCGUUGUUCGGAAUCACUGGGCGUAAAGGGAGCGUAGGCGGCGUGGUAAGUCAGAUGUGAAAUCCCGGGGCUCAACCCCGGAACUGCAUCCGAUACUGCCGUGCUAGAGGAUUGGAGAGGUAGCUGGAAUUCUUGGUGUAGCAGUGAAAUGCGUGGAGAUCAAGAGGAACACUCGUGGCGAAAGCGAGCUACUGGACAAUAACUGACGCUGAGGCUCGAAGGCCAGGGUAGCGAAAGGGAUUAGAUACCCCUGUAGUCCCUGUCUCUUAUAC